rnacentral:rRNA from 1 species
UCGAGGGGUAUUGGUUUUCGGACCAAGAGACCGGCGCACGGGUGCGUAACGCGUAUGCAAUCUACCUUUUACAGAGGGAUAGCCCAGAGAAAUUUGGAUUAAUACCUCAUAGUAUUAUGAAAUGGCAUCAUUUUAUAAUUAAAGUCACAACGGUAAAAGAUGAGCAUGCGUCCCAUUAGCUAGUUGGUAAGGUAACGGCUUACCAAGGCUACGAUGGGUAGGGGUCCUGAGAGGGAGAUCCCCCACACUGGUACUGAGACACGGACCAGACUCCUACGGGAGGCAGCAGUGAGGAAUAUUGGACAAUGGGCGCAAGCCUGAUCCAGCCAUGCCGCGUGCAGGAUGACGGUCCUAUGGAUUGUAAACUGCUUUUAUACAGGAAGAAACACUGGUUCGUGAACCAGCUUGACGGUACUGUAAGAAUAAGGAUCGGCUAACUCCGUGCCAGCAGCCGCGGUAAUACGGAGGAUCCAAGCGUUAUCCGGAAUCAUUGGGUUUAAAGGGUCCGUAGGCGGUUUAAUAAGUCAGUGGUGAAAGCCCAUCGCUCAACGGUGGAACGGCCAUUGAUACUGUUAAACUUGAAUUAUUAGGAAGUAACUAGAAUAUGUAGUGUAGCGGUGAAAUGCUUAGAGAUUACAUGGAAUACCAAUUGCG